rnacentral:rRNA from 1 species
UAACACGUGGGGAACCUGCCCCAUAGUCUGGGAUACCACUUGGAAACAGGUGCUAAUACCGGAUAAGAAAGCAGAUCGCAUGAUCAGCUUUUAAAAGGCGGCGUAAGCUGUCGCUAUGGGAUGGCCCCGCGGUGCAUUAGCUAGUUGGUAAGGUAAAGGCUUACCAAGGCGAUGAUGCAUAGCCGAGUUGAGAGACUGAUCGGCCACAUUGGGACUGAGACACGGCCCAAACUCCUACGGGAGGCAGCAGGU